GAGGAGCAUUGGGUUUCCAUUGUGUGUGUACCACAACACAACGUGUAGGAAAAGAAAAAUGAGUGCAAGAUUUGAGUGUGUCGAGGGUCCAGUGAGCGAAUCGUUUCAGUGUCCGCCUCUUCCACACAACAGUGGCUGCCCUGACCGUCACUCCUCGGCGCUAACUUGGCCACGACAGAGUGACGGUGUAAUGGUGUUUGGACAGCCACUCGCACCACGUCUCUCGUCACCUGUGCCUCAUAACAGUGCCACAUCAUUAAUAGCGUGCAUCGGAGCCACUUUGCUGGGAUACAAUACUAAUGAAACGUUGCCUGAAGUGGUGUCAGGGGCCUAACGCCAUCUACUACCAGGAGGCGGCGGAACUGGCUGUGGGUUACCACUGCUCCUGCCGGCACAGCAUGGGCUGGCAGCAUUGUCACGGUAGUGGUGGGCAGCGUGGCGCGACCAAGCCCUGAGGCGAAGGCCAUGUCGGCAGGCCAGGAGGUGCUAGUGGUGGUGUUCAGCACCGCUAUGCCCGUGCUGGUGUUGGAAUUGGUGUUGGUGAUCGUGUGCAUGAAGCGGAAACGCGUACGUGACUGCCCGUGUCGGGAUGAGGAGGCGCGGCGUCAGAACGAGCAGAACAUGGUGCACAACGCUGUGGGCGCCGUCAACAGUGUCUGGAUCACCACAUGAACUACUCCCUAAACUUCCCCAUCAAGAAACCCUUUAACACCGUGCCACCACCUCCCCCCCUUGCAUCACCCACACGACACCCACCUCCACCACCAUCACCUCAACGAUCACGACUACAAGAAUCCCGCGGAGAACACAUACUCCGCAGUGCCCAUGCGCAGCAGCAGGACUCAACAAGGAUGUGUCGCUGCUCUCGCUGGCUGACCGCCUUGAGAAGGACAUUGAGGCACCGCCCAGCCCCGCGUCACGCCCACCUAGGACUCCAGCGCCCCAUGCAAGGUGUUCCGGAAUUCCUUCCUGCCGCGCACAUAUAGCCACAGAGGAGUUAUGGGUGGCAGGAGGUUGAUGAAAUGUGUGGUGGUGUCACAAGUGAAGCACAGUGAGCGUUCCUGCUGGGUGAAGCAAUGAUGAGACCAGCGUCAGCACUCAGCAAGGCUUGAAAUCAAGCGACCGCCGGCAGAGAGGAGCCUUCUCCUGGACUUUUGACGAGUACCUUGUUGAAGCACAGAACAUAGACAGCGUUGGAAAUUGGACUAGUACAGUUUGACCAGGGUCCAACAUUGCACCAGGAUGAAGUGAUACACGUGUGUAGAGGUGCCAGGAGGACGGACUCUUGGAACAAGCCUUCCGACAACAGUCAUCAGCCAUCAGCCAUCAGGCAAGCGUGGCGGAACCACUCUGUUGAUUUCCAGCAGCAAAACGUGCGGGAAACACACCACCGAGUAGCUUUCACACGGCUGACAGUGUCCACUCACUCUCUGGCGGUAGAAGUAGUCGGUGGAGGGGGGAGGGUAGGCGAGGACGCAGCCGCUUGCACCUGGAGGAACGUGUGUGUGUGUGUGUGUGUGUGUGUGUGUGUGUGUGAGAAGUAAUUAA
rnacentral:lncRNA from 1 species